AAUUGAGUAAUCGAUCGUAUAGUUAGUGGCGAAAGGGUUAGUAAUGGAUAGGUAACGUACCCUGUGCUUCGGAAUAGCGUCUCCCGACUUGUCGGGAUACCGAAAGGGUCGGUAAUACCGAAUAAUAUCAGUUGUCGAUGGGCAACUGGUCAAAGAUUUAUCGGCAUUGGAGCGGCCUAUCUCCAAUCAGCUUGUUGGUGAGGUAACGGCUCACCAAGGCAGCGACGGGUAGCGGGACUGAGAGGUUGACCCGCAACAUCGGGACUGAGACACUGCCCGGACCUCCACGGAGGGCUGCAGUAACGAAUAUUGCGCAAUGGGCGAAAGCCUGACGCAGCGACGCCGCGUGCGGGAGGAAGUCCCUCGGGAUGUAAACCGCUGUCAGGGGUAAGAAGGUUCGCUUCGGCGGAUUGAUCUAACCCAAAGGAAGUCACGGCUAACUUCGUGCCAGCAGCCGCGGUAAGACGAAGGUGGCAAGCGUUGUUCGGUGUUACUGGGCUUAAAGGGUGUGUAGGCGGAAAGGUAAGCGUCUUGUGAAAGCCCCCGGCUUAACCGGGGAAUUGCUUGGCGAACUGCCUUUCUUGAGGCAGGCAGGGGCGCAUGGAACUCUUGGUGGAGCGGUGGAAUGCGUAGAUAUCAAGAGGAACGCCGAUGGAGAAAUCAGUGCGCUGGGCCUGUCCUGACGCUGAUACACGAAAGCGUGGGGAGCGAACGGGAUUAGAUACCCCGGUAGUCCACGCCGUAAACGAUGUCUACU
rnacentral:rRNA from 1 species